rnacentral:sRNA from 1 species
GUGGCGGCGGCGGCUCGGGUGGCUGCGCUGAGAGGCGGCGGUGAGAGGCUCGCACGCCUCCAGCCCGGCCCCGGCCCCCCGGGACGGAGAGCCGAGCAGCCCCGGCUCUGGGCUACGGACUAUGGGCGAACAGCUCUGACCACCCGGCGAAGUGCACACACCCAGAAGCUAUGUCCUUCGGCAGUAAAAGUUUUAUAGCACAAUAUAUGUGCUCUGCUCUCCUCCCGCAAUCCUGCUCCAAGAGAUCUUAAGCUGGAGGCACCAGGUCUGAAUUCCAGACUCCUCCCCACCACCCACACUUCACCUCCAACUGGAGCAUGACCACAGACCUAUUCAGAGAGGCUGGCAGCCUCUUCAUCCUGGACAGUCCCUUACUGUAUGCCAAAGCUGAGAAUGAAGCGGAGAGCAUCAGACAGAGGAGCUGGGGAAACGUCGGCCAGGGCCAAGGCUCUAGGAAGUGGGAUUUCUGGAAAUAAUGCAAAGAGAGCUGGACCAUUCAUCCUUGCUCUCUGUGCCGUAGGUCCCCGUCUGGGCAACUCACCGGUGCCAAGCAUAGUGCAGUGUUUGGCGAGGAAAGAUGGCACAGAUGACUUCUAUCAGCUGAAGAUCCUGACCCUGGAGGAGAGGGGAGACCAAGGCAUAGAGAGCCAGGAAGAGCGGCAGGGCAAGAUGCUGCUGCACACCGAGUACUCGCUGCUGUCUCUCCUGCACACGCAGGACGGCGUGGUGCACCACCACGGCCUCUUCCAGGACCGCACCUGUGAAAUCGUUGAGGACACAGAAUCCAGCCGGAUGGUUAAGAAGAUGAAGAAGCGCAUCUGCCUCGUCCUGGACUGCCUCUGUGCUCAUGACUUCAGCGACAAGACCGCUGACCUCAUCAACCUGCAGCACUACG